rnacentral:rRNA from 1 species
UACGAAGGGGGCUAGCGUUGCUCGGAAUUACUGGGCGUAAAGCGCACGUAGGCGGCUUUCUAAGUCGGAGGUGAAAUCCUGGAGCUCAACUCCAGAACUGCCUUCGAUACUGGAGAGCUUGAGUCCGGGAGAGGUGAGUGGAACUCCUAGUGUAGAGGUGGAAUUCGUAGAUAUUAGGAAGAACACCAGUGGCGAAGGCGGCUCACUGGUCCGGUACUGACGCUGAGGUGCGAAAGCGUGGGGAGCAAACAGG